UACGGGGGGGGCAAGCGUUGUUCGGAAUUACUGGGCGUAAAGGGCUCGUAGGCGGCCAACUAAGUCAGACGUGAAAUCCCUCGGCUUAACCGGGGAACUGCGUCUGAUACUGGAUGGCUUGAGGUUGGGAGAGGGAUGCGGAAUUCCAGGUGUAGCGGUGAAAUGCGCAGAUAUCUGGAGGAACACCGGUGGCGAAGGCGGCGAUCCUGGACCAAUUCUGACGCUGAGGAGCGAAAGCCAGGGGAGCAAACGGG
rnacentral:rRNA from 1 species